UUAUUCUCGUCUCUCAGGAAGUUGCUCCAAAGUGGCUUCAUCCUUCCCUGCUACUCUUUCUCCAGUUACUGUAUGGCCUUGGGAUUCUUUAGGAAUUCUUGGGAUUCCCUGUCCCCCCACAGUCCCCAUGCUUUCUUCCUCCCCUCUUUUGAGACAGGGUCUCACUGGCUAGUCUAGAACCCAUCAUGUAGAACAGGUUGGACUCAAACUCCCAGAGAUUUACCUACCUGCCUCUGCCUCUGGAGCAGUCUCCUUCUCUUAAAGGAAAUGGUGAGGUACAGGCUGUUUCUCAUGGUCCCCUUCCCCCUCCCAAUUUUGUCGUGUAGAUGGUGAACAUGCACCUGGAGAAAGUAGCCAGAAGGGAGAUUGGCACGUUGGCCACUGUCGUGCGGCUGCCCCCUAGCCAGAAGGUCAUCCCUCCUGAGAGCCUGCCUCCCCUCACUCCCUACUGCAGAAAACCCCUCAACUUUGCCUGCUUGGAUGAUGUUGGCCAUGGAGUCAAGGACUUGAGCACACAGCUGUCACGGACCGGGACCCUGUCUCGCAAGAGCAUAAAGGCGCCCGCUACACCUGCCUCUGCCACGCUGGGGAGACCACCCCGGAUCCCUGAGCCGGUGCAGCUCCCAGCGGUGCCAGACGGCAAGCUCUCCGCUGCCUCCUCUGUGUCUUCCUUGGCCUCCGCAGGCAGUGCAGAAGGUGCCAGUGGGAUCCCCCAGUCCAAGGGACAGGUAGCACCUGCAACCCCGCCUCCUCCACCUAUAGCGCCUGUAACUCCACCUCCUC
rnacentral:lncRNA from 1 species